rnacentral:tRNA from 1 species
GGCUCGUUGGUCUAGGGGUAUGAUUCCUGCUUUGGGUGCAGGAGGUCCCGGGUACAAAUCCCGGACGAGCCC